UACGGAGGGGGCUAGCGUUGUUCGGAAUUACUGGGCGUAAAGCGCGCGUAGGCGGACCUGCAAGUCGGGGGUGAAAGCCCGAGGCUCAACCUCGGAACUGCCUUCGAUACUGCGGGUCUCGAGUCCGGGAGAGGUGAGUGGAAUUCCGUAGUGUAGAGGUGAAAUUCGUAGAUAUUAGGAAGAACACCAGUGGCGAAGGCGGCUCACUGGCCCGGUACUGACGCUGAGGUGCGAAAGCGUGGGGAGCAAACAGGG
rnacentral:rRNA from 1 species